AUUGAACGCUGGCGGCAUGCCUUACACAUGCAAGUCGAACGGUAACGGGCCUUCGGGUGCCGACGAGUGGCGAACGGGUGAGUAAUGUAUCGGAACGUACCUUUCAGUGGGGGAUAACGUAGCGAAAGUUACGCUAAUACCGCAUAUUCUGUGAGCAGGAAAGCAGGGGAUCGCAGGACCUUGCGCUGAUUGAGCGGCCGAUAUCAGAUUAGCUAGUUGGUGAGGUAAAGACUCACCAAGGCGACGAUCUGUAGCGGGUCUGAGAGGAUGAUCCGCCACACUGGAACUGAGACACGGUCCAGACUCCUACGGGAGGCAGCAGUGGGGAAUUUUGGACAACGGGGGCAACCCUGAUCCAGCCAUGCCGCGUGAGUGAAGAAGGCCUUCGGGUUGUAAAGCUCUUUCGGCCGGGAAGAAAUCGUAUGGGUUAAUACCCUGUGCGGAUGACGGUACCGGCAUAAGAAGCACCGGCUAACUACGUGCCAGCAGCCGCAGUAAGAC
rnacentral:rRNA from 1 species